UGUCGCUGGAACCAGACUUCCAAAUUGGAGAGCUGAGGAAUUUCUGCAACAUAUUGUCGUGGAUUGACCUGCUUGACGGACAGUUGACAGUCCUUGAGCAAAUCAAGAGUGUCGGAGGCCAUGCGGCCUUUACUAGGCAAACCGAGACGAAUCUCAUUCCUCUCAGAAACUCUGUUAUCGAUUCUGCCAUUAACAACUGAGACCUGAGACUGCGAUAGGCAACAAACAACAGGUCUAAGAGACGAAAUUGAAGGUCUUAAAGUAAUUACACGAAAAGACGAAGAGGACGGGAAGAGAGAGGUUGACGAAGAGAGGGAGGCGGCGGCGCAUGGUUGGAAAUUUGGCUGGAGAGGAGUAAUAGACAUGGCUUUUUAGGAAAAGCAAAGCCCUAUGUUCACUAGAAACGGAGAUAUUUUAGAGAGGGAGAGGAGCUGUGUGUAGAUAGAAAAGCCGCCGGCCACCGUAGAAGCCCAAGUGAAAAGUGGCUCUAAUGAAUUAGAAGGGAAGAUACUGUUUUGAGUGUGCGGUUUGAUUCUGUUAUUGCGAAGCGUGUGAGGCUUUCC
rnacentral:misc_RNA from 1 species